rnacentral:rRNA from 1 species
AACGCGAAGAACCUUACCAGGACUUGACAUGGGGAGGACGCAGCCAGAAAUAUCCCUUCCCCUUAAAAGGCUGCUGCGGAGGUGCUGCAUGGCUGUCGUCAGCUCGUGUCGUGAGAUGUUGGGUUAAGUCCCGCAACGAGCGCAACCCUUAUCCCUAGUUGCCAUCGGGUCAAGCCGGGCACUCUAGUGAAACCGCUUCGGAUAACGGAGAGGAAGGUGGGGAUGACGUCAAGUCCUCAUGGCCUUUAUGUCCAGGGCUACACACGUGCUACAAUGGCCGGUACAAACCGUCCCAAACCCGCGAGGGGGAGGCAAUCGGAAAAAGCCGGCCUCAGUUCGGAUUGGAGUCUGCAACUCGACUCCAUGAAGCUGGAAUCGCUAGUAAUCGCGGAUCAGAACGCCGCGGUGAAUACGUUCCCGGGCCUUGUACACACCGAGUAUA